UACAGGGGGUGCAAACGUUGCUCGGAAUUAUUGGGCGUAAAGCGCGCGUAGGCGGCUACCUAAGUCGGAUGUGAAAGCCCCUGGCUUAACUGGGGAAGUGCACCCGAAACUGAGUAGCUAGAGUACGAAAGAGGGUCGCGGAAUUCCCGGUGUAGAGGUGAAAUUCGUAGAUAUCGGGGAGGAACACCGGUGGCGAAGGCGGCGACCUGGGUCGAUACUGACGCUGAGGCGCGAAAGCGUGGGGAGCAAACAGG
rnacentral:rRNA from 1 species